CCUACGGGAGGCAGCAGUGGGGGAUAUUGCACAAUGGGGGAAACCCUGAUGCAGCGACGCCGCGUGGGCGAAGAAGUAUUUCGGUAUGUAAAGCCCUAUCAGCAGGGAAGAAGAAAUGACGGUACCUGAGUAAGAAGCACCGGCUAAAUACGUGCCAGCAGCCGCGGUAAUACGUAGGGUGCAAGCGUUAUCCGGAUUUACUGGGUGUAAAGGGAGCGCAGGCGGCACGGCAAGCCUGAUGUGAAAGCCCGCGGCCCAACCGCGGGACUGCAUUGGGAACUACCGGGCUGGAGUGCCGGAGAGGUAGGCGGAAUUCCUAGUGUAGCGGUGAAAUGCGUAGAUAUUAGGAGGAACACCAGUGGCGAAGGCGGCCUGCUGGACGACAACUGACGGUGAGGCGCGAAAGCGUGGGUAUCAAACAGGAUUAGAUACCCUAGUAGUC
rnacentral:rRNA from 1 species